CGAUUUGGGAUCUUGGUGAUCCUGUAACCUGCUGGUAGUCUGUUGGCAUCUACAGUAGCACCAAUGCUUUUGACUUUCACCUUGACUGGGCCCCAUUUGUAAUGAUCUGAAGUAUUUAUCUGCAUUAUAUCUGAAUUUAAUCGGAAGGAUACGAGCGAGCAGGAGCGUCUGUUUGUGGGCGGGGCUUGGAGGAGCAGAGAGGGAGGGGAGAGGAGGAGCUGAAGGGAGGGGUAGAGUUCAAGAUUUCUCCUAAAAACUUGAACUUCCUCAGAUCCUGACUACCCCACCUUUAACCAGACAAGACACAGAAUCCACACAGAGAGGCCUCUACCUGGCCGGGGAUUCGAACCAGAGACCCUCAUACUUAAUUUGUUUGUUGUACUACACUGAUUGUUUCACUGUAAUAGAAAUAGAAAUAGAAAUAGGCUCCUUUGACUUUUCAAAUGAUAUUCUUAAUAAUCAAACAGGCUUUGUGUAUUUAUUGCACACAUCCAAACAGACUGAAAAGUCUUUUGUCUGAUUCUUCUGACUCUGUGCUGCAGGAGUUUCAACAUACUGUCGAUGAUGGUGGUGGUCCUGGUGAAAAGAAGCAACUCUGCCUCUGUAUUAGCCGAUUGAUCAGUGAGAUCAAUCGAAAAUGAACUCUGAAGGUUGGACCUCUCUCACUCUGCAGGACUGUUAACACAUCUCACGUAAAACACACACGGACACACACUUACACACUCAGACACAGGGGUUACUUUAAGUGGAUAAUGAGGACGACACCCCGGGUGCUGAAAUAAUUGAAGCUGUUUGAUGUCUCGUCGAAUAAUACUCACACACCUUUGACUCACUCUCUGCUUCUGUCUCUCUCUCUCUUGUCAUUUCUCUCACACAUUAAACCUUUUCCUCAUUAGGAUGAUGAACAGUAAAACGCACACAUUCGAGCUGGACCACAAAAGCAGGCGCGCACACCUGAACUAAACCUGAUAGAUGUCUGAUCCUUGAAGUUGUUCAGAGGAGCUCAAUAUAUGGGUCUCUAAUAAAUCCUGACAGAAGCGUGUAUCUGUGUGUUAAGGAGAGUGAUGUAUGGAUCCUUUAGAAGAAGAAAGUGGGCAUGUAUAUAAUUACUGCGGUACUUUGUUUUAGAUCUCAUCAGAACACCUUUGCACUGAGUAUCUUUGCACCGAAUAGAAAAAGUGUGAAAGUCAGAAGUUCUGAGUUUCUGUUGGUUUCAUGUAAUUCACUGUUCGGCUCAUCUAAGUCGACAGCUGCUUGCAAACUGCAUCAAUUGUCACAAGGUGAAGUCCGAAGUCAAAUAUAAGGUGAUUGCAAUGUCUGGUCACUCCUCUGUUAAAGGUGAGCUGCAGCAUGGGUGGAAAAUGAUGCGACCUAGUACUAGCAGCCGUCCGAGAGGCGAUUUUGUACUUUUAAAACCGGCAUUUAGAGAUCCAAAGUGAUCAAAGUUAGAUUGAAGUUAGAGCUUCAGAUUACUAUCAAUUGAACAUUUAAUCUCUUUAAUUUAAACUUAUCUUUUAGAUUGCUUUAAAACUGUUGAAAGCCCGCAGAGACAUAUUUACAUAAUACACAAUUAAAGGAAUAUUCUGGCGUAAAUUAAGUUAAGGUCAAACACAUCGUAACACCGAGUUAGACACCCCCUCGAGAGAUAAAUGUUGCUGUCAGCUUCCUUCUCUAGUUAUACCAACUUUAGUAACGACCACAGAUAGCGCUCAACCAAAACGCCACUCUAUAGCCACGAAUAAUGCUCAGAACAGCACCUAACUUCAUCAACAGGACAUAUAGGGUCACAGACAUAGUAGUAGACACCAAACAUCUUUUUAACUUUGAAUCAUUUCUUUAGCAAAGAGACUAAACACAACUCACCCACUUUCUUCUGUUGUCCAUUUCCUGGUUAGCCUAUUAGGUAUCAAAACAAUCAACAAACAGAUAAGCCAGAAGCACACAGGUUGUGUUACUUCACAGCUCUGCACCUUUCGUAUGUAUGAAGGGAGGUUUAGUUGCUGUUUUACUUCUGGGUCAAAGCUUGUUUAGGGUGACUAUACGCCCUCUUUUACCCCGACCUGUCCUCUCUUUUGGGGGCAGUCCGGCCUUGUUCGGGGAGGUUUAUAAAAUCCUUAAACGUCUGGAGUUUUGAAUGGAAGCUUUGAGUUCAUAGUGCGUGGACUUCCUGAGUUAUGAGCGCGUAAAAGACACUCGAUCUGACCCGAAAAACUCUCAAAAUUAACUACGCGUGACUCCGCCCCCCGUAGUCGUGUCCUCUUUUUGGAGAUUCAGAAUACGGUCACCCUAAGCUUGAUGUACAAACUGUGGAGCCUGUGCAGAGAGAUAAAGAGUUUACACGCACAAGAAAAUCAAACAUCAUCUUCGUAGAUGUGACUCUGAGAAAAUUCAUUCAGUGUGAUUUCAGAUUUCAGUUGGAGGUGUUUGCAUGUUAUUCAAGAGCCUAGACUAGAGCAACAAAUCAGAUUUUUACACAAGACGUAAACACACGGGCUGAUCAGCUGUCUCUGAGGAGAGGUUUUGCAUGGAUAUCAUUCGGAGGCCUUUAUGCACUUUCAUCAAAGUUGUUCCAAUUAACUGGCAGGACAAAGCCGUGGUUGAAUAGCUGUAAUAUGAGCGCUGGAUGUUUCCGAUGCUUUCAGUAGGACUUAAUGAACCUGCCGCGUGUCGUCUUUGAUGGAAAAUGGAAGUGAUUGCACACAGUGUGCAGACAGUGGAAGAACAGGUCACAGCUCACGUCUGCCCCGGGUCUUUAACAGAUUAAUCCAGCCAUGGUAACAGCAGAGACCAACACUGACAAUACAAAGGAAGUGACUCACAAAAGCUAUUCUGUCAGCUCCACAUGCAUAGAUAAGCGUUUAGAUGAAAUGAUGUGUAUGCACAGAAAUCCUCUCAUCCGCCUCGCCUCGGUCAGGACUUUCACUCUCCUCAAAAAGUUGCACCAGGGUGAAAAGUUCACAAUUUGGUUUAUUUUUUCUCACGAGACAUUCAGAUGAAAAAAGUUGCGAGUAUGGAGUUAAUGAGUUGUCAAAGAAGUUUUGACUCCAGUCGGUGCCCUGAAAGUGAGUCCGUCCUUUGAUAGAUCACAGCUGAUGCAACUGUAAAAUAUCAAAAAGAGGUAUUAUCUAAGGAACUCCAGUCUGAGGUGUCAUAAUCAUAAUCAGACUCAGGUCAGUUAUAGUCCAGGUAGGGCUGGGCGACACAUCGAAUAAUCUUAGCAUGCUACAGUUUUCACAUCUAUUGAUACUGACAUUGAUUACUGUCAAAGUAAAUAACAAAUCAGUGUUUCUUUCAUAUUUUAAAGUUAUUGAUAAAGUAUCAGUUUGUUCAAUUUGGUAAAGCUAAUAAAACAAAUCAUGUUUGGUUCGUCUGACAAUGAAAGGCAGGAAGACUCAGAAAUAAGAAGCAUAUUUAUUCAUUUUAUAUGUCUUUCAGUCCUUUAAAUUUGUGUUCGGUCAAAUGGCACGGUGUUGGAGAACAGUGAUAUGAGACUUUGCUGAUGGUGAGUCUCACUUCACUGCCCGCUGAGCUCAUUUUAACUCUUGUUCGGUCCUAGAACCUCUUGCUUAAGGUGUGUUUCAAGGACUCACUCCGAUGAAAAUCAUGUUUUUCUUGUUUGUGAUGCUGCUCGUCUUCGCCGGUCUAUCUUUGCUGCUCUGUCCGACAGAAAACAGUCAAAAUAUCUAAAAACAACUGAAGUUAAGAAGCUCGUCUUUGUGUAGCUACAGUGGUUUCUUUAUAUGUCUGUAAUCCUGUGAUCUGAUUGGCCGCAUGUCUUGGUCCUCUUCUUCUCUGUAAUAUCCACUGUCAUCUGACAUUUUAGCACAUUAGCGCCCCCUUUCUAUGAUCCAACAAGUAGGCUGAUAAAAACCUUUAAUCAAAAAAACAUUGGGACAGAUUUGAUUUCUGAUGAAGUUUGAACUUUAUUAAUCUUAUAUGACUUCAUCUGUGUCAGAGUUUCCUCCUCCUGAGCGGCUGAAGAAAGAGCCUGAAGGUGUCCGAUUCUUCAUAAACUCUCCCUCCAGGGCUCGGUCACGGGUCCUUCAUCACUUUCUUACACAAUGAGGUCAGGAUCAGCAGCAGAGUCCUCCUAAAACACGUCCUAAAGUGGUUUUAAUCCUCUUCUGAAGUAAAGAUGUUUCAUGAGUUAUUAAAGUUACAACACCGUCUUGGAGUACUGCUGCUUCUUCUUCCUUGUUAUGGCCAUGAUGAGGAGCAUGUUGUCUGUUUGUUUAUGAUUAUAAUCAUGCUGAGCGUACUGGAGGAGACUGAAGCACGAGUGAAACAAGAAGCAAAUAUUUGAGUCUGGGCGGGAGGAUUAAUCCAGCCCCAGUCCCCGUUAAAUAGACGCCCAUGUUUGGAAAGUGUUAGAAUUAAAGGUUAGAGCUCACUGAAGAGUCAGCAGCUUCAGGACACUUUUAGACAGAAACGGUCUCCAAAGAAAACGGAAACGUGCCGUUUCGUUUUCAGUUUUUAUGCUGUGUUUACACAAAAAUGCAAUGUGGUUGAAAACGCUGUAAUGUGCAUGCCAGGUCGCUAGGUGGCGCGUCUCGGUGUGACCACACUCCCAUAUAGACCAACAACGCAUACGUAGAACAACUUCCAAAGACGUCCCCUUGUUCCCCUCCGCCGACCAGUUGGCACAUUUAUUAUUUGAUGCAAAUAAUUCAGACGCCUCCUCUG
rnacentral:lncRNA from 1 species